rnacentral:rRNA from 1 species
UACGUAGGGUCCGAGCGUUGUCCGGAAUUACUGGGCGUAAAGAGCUCGUAGGCGGUUUGUCGCGUUGUUCGUGAAAACUCACAGCUCAACUGUGGGCGUGCGGGCGAUACGGGCAGACUUGAGUACUGCAGGGGAGACUGGAAUUCCUGGUGUAGCGGUGGAAUGCGCAGAUAUCAGGAGGAACACCGGUGGCGAAGGCGGGUCUCUGGGCAGUAACUGACGCUGAGGAGCGAAAGCGUGGGGAGCGAACAGG